AACUUUGAAACAAAAAAGAGAAAACAAAAUUAAUUUCGUCUGUGGAAUAUAUCCUGGAAUAUAGAAAAGAUAAAACGGUUAUUUUAAUCAUUAAUCUGACAAUCGUCACACGAUUCGAUUUUAAUCGAGGAAGAUGCAUCGCGCCGAGAGAAUCCAUCGAUCACGUUGUCGGUGAUCAUGAACGCGAUCUCGUGAACAAGGCGUCGAUUAUCCCAAAUCUUUCAGACCAAUGAAGUAUCGAUGACCGUUUUGUUACGUCAGCCAAGCACAAGAAGCCUUUUCAAGCAAUUGUAACGCGUACUCUUAACGUGUAAUAAAUAAUAAAAAAAUCAU